UUUAUGGCCCUUUAAAGGGCCACAGUACAUAACCAGACAAACAGUAU
rfam:Pteropus alecto contig66580, whole genome shotgun sequence.